AUUGAACGCUGGCGGCAUGCUUUACACAUGCAAGUCGAGCGGCAGCGCGGGGGCAACCCUGGCGGCGAGCGGCGAACGGGUGAGUAAUGCAUCGGAACGUGUCCCGUAGUGGGGGAUAACCCGGCGAAAGCCGGGCUAAUACCGCAUAUGCUCUACGGAGGAAAGGGGGGGAUCCGCAAGGACCUCUCGCUAUGGGAGCGGCCGAUGUCCGAUUAGCUUGUUGGUGGGGUAAUGGCUUACCAAGGCGACGAUCGGUAGCUGGUCUGAGAGGAUGAUCAGCCACACUGGGACUGAGACACGGCCCAGACUCCUACGGGAGGCAGUAGUGGGGAAUUUUGGACAAUGGGGGCAACCCUGAUCCAGCCAUGCCGCGUGCGGGAAGAAGGCC
rnacentral:rRNA from 1 species